UACCCUUACAUGUAAUUGGCAUAAAGGAAUUGACAAAAUAAGCCUCUGCCGAAAAUCCAACCGCUCUGCAUACCACGUAAUUAUUGUUCUAAUUCUUGAUUUAUGGGUUUGUUCAACUUUCUCGAUCUCCACCAAUUCCAAUUCUUUCACUUAAGGUUUCUGCGAGCUCCAUUUCUUCAUAACCGUUCAAAGAUUCAUCAAAGUGGAUCAUCCACCCAGCUUAGUUAUUUGGUAAUCACAGUCUAUAGUUACAAAACAAUCUAUGCAUUGUAUCUGGUUCUUAUACUUCUCAGUUUGAUUCAAGAUUUUAAAGAGCCACACUCUUUCCUGGUUGGGAUUGCUUUUCUGGAGAAAUCUUGGAUUCCCGUUUGAAAUUUUUUUUUAAUUUUGUUGUACUGGGUUGUGAUCGAAAUAAGAUUCAGAGUUUGAAUUCUUGAGGCUCUCCUGGAUGGACAUGGGUGAAGUUUUGGAUUUUUGAAUAAUUUUAUACUUCAUGGCAUUUCGAUGUUUUGAAAUUGCAGUUACAAAAUUACUGUUUGUUGAUAUUACUGAUUGCAGCUAAAUUUGGUGUGAUGGUGAUUGGUUGGUAAAUGGUUAGUGUAUUGAUUGGUUUUCUAUGGCAAUAAGGUUUCCAGUGAAUUGAGUGCCCUACAAGGGAUCUCUAAUGGUAAUCUUGAUUCCAAUUUUUGAAGUUAU
rnacentral:lncRNA from 1 species